rnacentral:tRNA from 1 species
GGCCGACUAGCUCAGUUGGUUAGAGCGUCGUGCUAAUAACGCGAAGGUCUUGGGUUUCGAUCCCCACGUUGGCCA